GGUGCGAUCAUACCAGC
rnacentral:rRNA from 2 species